GAAGUAUGAAGAUCAAGUAAAAGCUGCUAACUUUUUUCUUUUAAUGGUUAAACUCCAUUUAUACUUCU
rnacentral:tRNA from 1 species